UACGUAGGGUGCGAGCGUUAUUCGGAAUUACUGGGCGUAAAGCGUGCGCAGGCGGCCUUUUAAGUCAGAUGUGAAAGCCCCGGGCUUAACCUGGGAAUGGCAUUUGGGACUGCAAGGCUUGAGUGCGGCAGAGGAGACUGGAAUUCCUGGUGUAGCAGUGAAAUGCGUAGAUAUCAGGAGGAAUACCGAUGGCGAAGGCAGGUCUCUGGGCUGACACUGACGCUCAUGCACGAAAGCGUGGGGAGCAAACAGG
rnacentral:rRNA from 1 species